AUAUCUAUAAGCGGAGGAAAAGAAACCAACAGGGAUUCCCCUAGUAGCGGCGAGCGAACCGGGAUGAGCUCAGAUUUGUAAUCUGGCGUCUUUCAGGCGUCCGAGUUGUAAUCUUCAGAGGCGUCUUCCGCGCCGGACCGUGUCCAAGUCCCCUGAAACGGGGCAUCAAGGAGGGUGAAAACCCCGUGCUUGACACGACGACCGGGGCUAUGUGAUGCGUCCUCGACGAGUCGAGUUGUUUGGGAAUGCAGCUCUAAACGGGUGGUAAAUUCCAUCUAAAGCUAAAUAUUGGCGAGAGACCGAUAGCGCACAAGUA
rnacentral:rRNA from 1 species